rnacentral:rRNA from 1 species
GACGAACGCUGGCGGCGUGCCUAAUACAUGCAAGUUGAGCGAUGAAGAUUGGUGCUUGCACCAAUUUGAAGAGCAGCGAACGGGUGAGUAACGCGUGGGGAAUCUGCCUUUGAGCGGGGGACAACAUUUGGAAACGAAUGCUAAUACCGCAUAAUAACUUUAAAAAUAAGUUUUAAGUUUGAAAGAUGCAAUUGCAUCACUCAAAGAUGAUCCCGCGUUGUAUUAGCUAGUUGGUGAGGUAAAGGCUCACCAAGGCGAUGAUACAUAGCCGACCUGAGAGGGUGGUCGGCCACAUUGGGACUGGGACACGGCCCAAACUCCUACGGGAGGCAGCAGGAGGGAAUCUUCGGCAAUGGACGAAAGUCUGACCGAGCAACGCCGCGGGAGGGAAGAAGGUUUUCGGAUCGUAAAACUCUGUUGGUAGAGAAGAACGUUGGUGGGAGUGAAAAGCUCAUCAAGUGACGGUAACUACCCAGAAAGGGACGGCUAACUACGUG